ensembl:misc_RNA 7SK 7SK RNA
GGAUGUGAGGGCGAUCUGGCUGCGACAUCUGUCACCCCAUUGAUCGCCAGGGUUGAUUCGGCUGAUCUGGCUGGCUAGGCGGGUGUCCCCUUCCUCCAUGUGGGUCCCUCUGGAAGUGCGCGCUUGGUCGAAAAGGACGGCCUUCCCCUAACAGUGACGGACCCGGUCCCCUAAUAGAGACGACCCAGUCUUCCUUCGAGGGUAUACAAGUAGUUGUGCUCCCCUGCUAGAACCUCCAAACCAGCUCUCAAGAAGUUAAAACAAAACUCACUUCCUGGAAAAAUCAAAACAGAAGUAAAGCUCUUCCAAUUCCACUGGACUACAAACCAUU